UACGGAGGGUGCGAGCGUUGUCCGGAAUCACUGGGCGUAAAGGGCGCGUAGGCGGCAGGCCAAGCGUGCGGUGAAAGCCCGGGGCUCAACCCCGGGAGGCGGAUGGAUACUGCAAGGCUCGAGUACGGAAGAGGCGAGUGGAAUUCCCGGUGUAGCGGUGAAAUGCGCAGAUAUCAGGAGGAACACCGGCGGUGUAGACGGCUUUCUGGACCGUAGCUGACGCUGAGACACGAAAGCGUGGGUAGCAAACAGG
rnacentral:rRNA from 1 species